rnacentral:tRNA from 1 species
GGAGGGUUAUAGCUCAGUGGUUGAGCACGUACUUCCCAAGUACGAGGUCCUGGGUUCAAUCCCCAGUACCUCCA